UUUUUCUAUGAGCCGUGGAACUUUUCCAAACUUGAUAUUGGGUUUAAUGAAGUACUUAGAGUGAAUAAUUGAGUAUGAAUUUAUGUAUUUGGGAAUGUGAAUGUGUUGAUGGUUUAAGAAAUAUUUUGGACGGAGUUGAAUCGGUGAAAACGAGUUUUGAGCUAAAUGUCGUUUUGUCUUGGGAUUUUCUCAUACGAACUUAGGCUAAUCUUUGAACUAAUGAUUGAUAGUUCGUAAGUGGCCUAUGCUCAUACUUAAAUGAUUGAUUAAGAUUGAAUUGUAGGAUUUCAAACUUGAAUAAGUUGUCUAGCUUUGAAAAUUAUCAAUGUUGGCCGUUUGCCACAUGAAUUGGAUUUUUGUCGGAAAUGUUUCUUUAGCCAAUUGUCUUGUGAGUUAUUGUGACCAUUCUUGUAUGACUAAGUGAAGAUGUGUGAAUGAAUGGUUAUAUGUUGGAUGUGAUGUUUAUCUUAAGGUGACAUAUUUUCCUCUUUACUUGGAAUGUGAGCAAAUCAUGUAUUUGAUGUGAAACUAUAUGAAGGUGAUGAUAUUGGUGAAUCCAUAUACAUUGUUUAUUAUGAUAGGGUGUGUGAAUAUAUAUGUCGUUGUGAAUUGUUGGUGAGUGCAUAUAUGUCGAGAAAUGACGAAUUGGUGUGAAUGCAUUUAUGCAAGUAAUAUUGGUGAGAAUAUGGUGAAUUGUUUGUAUGAACAUAUGUAUUGUUGUUGAGAUAUAUGUUUAUGCAUACAUGACUGAUGGUGACGGAUUUUAUAUCCAACGUGGUGAGUUGUUUGUGUGAACAUAUGCAUUGUUGUUGAGUCAUAUGUUCAUACAUACAUGACUGAUGGAGACAGAUAUUUUUAUAUAUCCAAAUGGUGAGAUUAUGAUGUUCUGUCGGCAUCAUGGGCGACGGCCUAAAUAUUGGUGAGACCGGUACCACAUGCA
rnacentral:lncRNA from 1 species